GACAGAGGGUGCAAACGUUGUUCGGAAUUACUGGGCGUAAAGGGCAUGCAGGCGGUCGGACGCGUUUCGGGUGACAGCGGGUGGCUUAACUACCCGAGUGGUCGAAAGACGGUUUGACUUGAGGACGCGAGAGGGACACGGAAUUCCGGGUGGAGUGGUGAAAUGCGUAGAGAUCCGGAGGAACACCGAAGGCGAAGGCAGUGUCCUGGCGCGUAACUGACGCUGAGGUGCGAAAGCCAGGGGAGCGAACGGG
rnacentral:rRNA from 1 species